UUAAGCGACUAAGCGUACACGGUGGAUGCCCUGGCAGUCAGAGGCGAUGAAGGGCGUGCUAAUCUGCGAUAAGCGCCGGUAAGGUGAUAUGAACCGUUAUAACCGGCGAUACCCGAAUGGGGAAACCCAGUGUGACUCGUCACACUAUCAUUAACUGAAUCCAUAGGUUAAUGAGGCGAACCGGGGGAACUGAAACAUCUAAGUACCCCGAGGAAAAGAAAUCAACCGAGAUUCCCCCAGUAGCGGCGAGCGAACGGGGAGGAGCCCAGAGCCUGAAUCAGCAUGUGUGUUAGUGGAAGCGUCUGGAAAGGCGCGCGAUACAGGGUGACAGCCCCGUACACAAAAGCGCAUGUGCUGUGAGCUCGAUGAGUAGGGCGGGACACGUGGUAUCCUGUCUGAAUAUGGGGGGACCAUCCUCCAAGGCUAAAUACUCCUGACUGACCGAUAGUGAACCAGUACCGUGAGGGAAAGGCGAAAAGAACCCCGGCGAGGGGAGUGAAAAAGAACCUGAAACCGUGUACGUACAAGCAGUGGGAGCNNGUGACUGCGUACCUUUUGUAUAAUGGGUCAGCGACUUAUAUUCUGUAGCAAGGUUAACCGAAUAGGGGAGCCGGAGGGAAACCGAGUCUUAAUUGGGCGUUAAGUUGCAGGGUAUAGACCCGAAACCCGGUGAUCUAGCCAUGGGCAGGUUGAAGGUUGGGUAACACUAACUGGAGGACCGAACCGACUAAUGUUGAAAAAUUAGCGGAUGACCUGUGGCUGGGGGUGAAAGGCCAAUCAAACCGGGAGAUAGCUGGUUCUCCCCGAAAGCUAUUUAGGUAGCGCCUCGUGAAUUCAUCUCCGGGGGUAGAGCACUGUUUCGGCUAGGGGGCCAUCCCGGCUUACCAACCCGAUGCAAACUGCGAAUACCGGAGAAUGUUAUCACGGGAGACACACGGCGGGUGCUAACGUCCGUCGUGAAGAGGGAAACAACCCAGACCGCCAGCUAAGGUCCCAAAGUCAUGGUUAAGUGGGAAACGAUGUGGGAAGGCCCAGACAGCCAGGAUGUUGGCUUAGAAGCAGCCAUCAUUUAAAGAAAGCGUAAUAGCUCACUGGUCGAGUCGGCCUGCGCGGAAGAUGUAACGGGGCUAAACCAUGCACCGAAGCUGCGGCAGCGANNGUUGGGUAGGGGAGCGUUCUGUAAGCCUGCGAAGGUGGCCUGUGAGGGUUGCUGGAGGUAUCAGAAGUGCGAAUGCUGACAUAAGUAACGAUAAAGCGGGUGAAAAGCCCGCUCGCCGGAAGACCAAGGGUUCCUGUCCAACGUUAAUCGGGGCAGGGUGAGUCGACCCCUAAGGCGAGGCCGAAAGGCGUAGUCGAUGGGAAACGGGUUAAUAUUCCCGUACUUGGUGUUACUGCGAAGGGGGGACGGAGAAGGCUAUGUUGGCCGGGCGACGGUUGUCCCGGUUUAAGCGUGUAGGUGUGUGUUCCAGGUAAAUCCGGUUCACUUUAACACUGAGGCGUGAUGACGAGGCACUACGGUGCUGAAGCAACAAAUGCCCUGCUUCCAGGAAAAGCCUCUAAGCAUCAGGUAACAUCAAAUCGUACCCCAAACCGACACAGGUGGUCAGGUAGAGAAUACCAAGGCGCUUGAGAGAACUCGGGUGAAGGAACUAGGCAAAAUGGUGCCGUAACUUCGGGAGAAGGCACGCUGACACGUAGGUGAAGUGAUUUACUCAUGGAGCUGAAGUCAGUCGAAGAUACCAGCUGGCUGCAACUGUUUAUUAAAAACACAGCACUGUGCAAACACGAAAGUGGACGUAUACGGUGUGACGCCUGCCCGGUGCCGGAAGGUUAAUUGAUGGGGUCAGCGCAAGCGAAGCUCCUGAUCGAAGCCCCGGUAAACGGCGGCCGUAACUAUAACGGUCCUAAGGUAGCGAAAUUCCUUGUCGGGUAAGUUCCGACCUGCACGAAUGGCGUAAUGAUGGCCAGGCUGUCUCCACCCGAGACUCAGUGAAAUUGAACUCGCUGUGAAGAUGCAGUGUACCCGCGGCAAGACGGAAAGACCCCGUGAACCUUUACUAUAGCUUGACACUGAACAUUGAGCCUUGAUGUGUAGGAUAGGUGGGAGGCUUUGAAGCGUGGACGCCAGUCUGCGUGGAGCCGACCUUGAAAUACCACCCUUUAAUGUUUGAUGUUCUAACGUGGACCCGUAAUCCGGGUUGCGGACAGUGUCUGGUGGGUAGUUUGACUGGGGCGGUCUCCUCCUAAAGAGUAACGGAGGAGCACGAAGGUUGGCUAAUCCUGGUCGGACAUCAGGAGGUUAGUGCAAUGGCAUAAGCCAGCUUGACUGCGAGCGUGACGGCGCGAGCAGGUGCGAAAGCAGGUCAUAGUGAUCCGGUGGUUCUGAAUGGAAGGGCCAUCGCUCAACGGAUAAAAGGUACUCCGGGGAUAACAGGCUGAUACCGCCCAAGAGUUCAUAUCGACGGCGGUGUUUGGCACCUCGAUGUCGGCUCAUCACAUCCUGGGGCUGAAGUAGGUCCCAAGGGUAUGGCUGUUCGCCAUUUAAAGUGGUACGCGAGCUGGGUUUAGAACGUCGUGAGACAGUUCGGUCCCUAUCUGCCGUGGGCGCUGGAGAACUGAGGGGGGCUGCUCCUAGUACGAGAGGACCGGAGUGGACGCAUCACUGGUGUUCGGGUUGUCAUGCCAAUGGCACUGCCCGGUAGCUAAAUGCGGAAGAGAUAAGUGCUGAAAGCAUCUAAGCACGAAACUUGCCCCGAGAUGAGUUCUCCCUGAGACUUAGAGUCUCCUGAAGGAACGUUGAAGACGACGACGUUGAUAGGCCGGGUGUGUAAGCGCAGCGAUGCGUUGAGCUAACCGGUACUAAUGAACCGUGAGGCUUAACCUU
rnacentral:rRNA from 2 species